rnacentral:rRNA from 1 species
GGGUUGUGAGGUUAAGCGACUAAGCGUACACGGUGGAUGCCCUGGCAGUCAGAGGCGAUGAAGGACGUGCUAAUCUGCGAAAAGCGUCGGUAAGGUGAUAUGAACCGUUACAGCCGGCGAUGUCCGAAUGGGGAAACCCAGUGCAAUUCGUUGCACUAUCGUUAACUGAAUACAUAGGUUAACGAGGCGAACCGGGGGAACUGAAACAUCUAAGUACCCCGAGGAAAAGAAAUCAACCGAGAUUCCCCCAGUAGCGGCGAGCGAACGGGGAGCAGCCCGGAGUCUGAAUCAGCUUGUGUGUUAGUGGAAGCGUCUGGAAAGUCGCAGGGUACAGGGUGAUACUCCCGUACACUAAAACGCACAGGUUGUGAACUCGAAGAGUAGGGCGGGACACGUGGUAUCCUGUCUGAAUAUGGGGGGACCAUCCUCCAAGGCUAAAUACUCCUGACUGACCGAUAGUGAACCAGUACCGUGAGGGAAAGGCGAAAAGAACCCCGGCGAGGGGAGUGAAAAAGAACCUGAAACCGUGUACGUACAAGCAGUAGGAGCCCCACCACCAAAGCGUUUCGCUUUACGUGGUGCGCAAAAUGCGUAACGACAGCAUGAUGGACGGUUAACGGAGCGUAAGCGACGUUCAACAUCCAGAAUCAGGCAGUGGAGCGUUUUGGGGUGGGGUGACUGCGUACCUUUUGUAUAAUGGGUCAGCGACUUAUAUUCUGUAGCAAGGUUAACCGUAUAGGGGAGCCGCAGGGAAACCGAGUCUUAACUGGGCGUUAAGUUGCAGGGUAUAGACCCGAAACCCGGUGAUCUAGCCAUGGGCAGGUUGAAGGUUGGGUAACACUAACUGGAGGACCGAACCGACUAAUGUUGAAAAAUUAGCGGAUGACUUGUGGCUGGGGGUGAAAGGCCAAUCAAACCGGGAGAUAGCUGGUUCUCCCCGAAAGCUAUUUAGGUAGCGCCUCGUGAACUCAUCUUCGGGGGUAGAGCACUGUUUCGGCUAGGGGGUCAUCCCGACUUACCAACCCGAUGCAAACUACGAAUACCGAAGAAUGUUAUCACGGGAGACACACGGCGGGUGCUAACGUCCGUCGUGAAGAGGGAAACAACCCAGACCGCCAGCUAAGGUCCCAAAGUCAUGGUUAAGUGGGAAACGAUGUGGGAAGGCCCAGACAGCCAGGAUGUUGGCUUAGAAGCAGCCAUCAUUUAAAGAAAGCGUAAUAGCUCACUGGUCGAGUCGGCCUGCGCGGAAGAUGUAACGGGGCUAAACCAUGCACCGAAGCUGCGGCAGCGACACUAUGUGUUGUUGGGUAGGGGAGCGUUCUGUAAGCCGUUGAAGGUGGCCUGUGAGGGUUGCUGGAGGUAUCAGAAGUGCGAAUGCUGACAUAAGUAACGAUAAUGCGGGUGAAAAACCCGCACGCCGGAAGACCAAGGGUUCCUGUCCAACGUUAAUCGGGGCAGGGUGAGUCGACCCCUAAGGCGAGGCCGAAAGGCGUAGUCGAUGGGAAACAGGUUAAUAUUCCUGUACUCGGUGUUACUGCGAAGGGGGGACGGAGAAGGCUAUGUUGGCCGGGCGACGGUUGUCCCGGUUUAAGCAUGUAGGCGGAUGUUCCAGGUAAAUCCGGAACGUUAUCAACGCUGAGGUGUGAUGACGAGGCACUACGGUGCUGAAGUGACAAAUGCCCUGCUUCCAGGAAAAGCCUCUAAGCAUCAGGUAACAUCAAAUCGUACCCCAAACCGACACAGGUGGUCAGGUAGAGAAUACCAAGGCGCUUGAGAGAACUCGGGUGAAGGAACUAGGCAAAAUGGUGCCGUAACUUCGGGAGAAGGCACGCUGAUGGUAAGUGAAGCGACUUGCUCGUGGAGCUGAAAUCAGUCGAAGAUACCAGCUGGCUGCAACUGUUUAUUAAAAACACAGCACUGUGCAAACACGAAAGUGGACGUAUACGGUGUGACGCCUGCCCGGUGCCGGAAGGUUAAUUGAUGGGGUUAUCCUCGCGGAGAAGCUCUUGAUCGAAGCCCCGGUAAACGGCGGCCGUAACUAUAACGGUCCUAAGGUAGCGAAAUUCCUUGUCGGGUAAGUUCCGACCUGCACGAAUGGCGUAAUGAUGGCCAGGCUGUCUCCACCCGAGACUCAGUGAAAUUGAACUCGCUGUGAAGAUGCAGUGUACCCGCGGCAAGACGGAAAGACCCCGUGAACCUUUACUAUAGCUUGACACUGAACACUGGUCCUUGAUGUGUAGGAUAGGUGGGAGGCUUUGAAGUGUGGACGCCAGUCUGCAUGGAGCCAUCCUUGAAAUACCACCCUUUAAUGGCUGGUGUUCUAACGUGGGCCCGUAAUCCGGGUUGCGGACAGUGUCUGGUGGGUAGUUUGACUGGGGCGGUCUCCUCCUAAAGAGUAACGGAGGAGCACGAAGGUCAGCUAAUCCUGGUCGGACAUCAGGAGGUUAGUGCAAUGGCAUAAGCUGGCUUGACUGCGAGCGUGACGGCGCGAGCAGGUGCGAAAGCAGGUCAUAGUGAUCCGGUGGUUCUGAAUGGAAGGGCCAUCGCUCAACGGAUAAAAGGUACUCCGGGGAUAACAGGCUGAUACCGCCCAAGAGUUCAUAUCGACGGCGGUGUUUGGCACCUCGAUGUCGGCUCAUCACAUCCUGGGGCUGAAGUAGGUCCCAAGGGUAUGGCUGUUCGCCAUUUAAAGUGGUACGCGAGCUGGGUUUAGAACGUCGUGAGACAGUUCGGUCCCUAUCUGCCGUGGGCGCUGGAGAAUUGAGGGGGGCUGCUCCUAGUACGAGAGGACCGGAGUGGACGCAUCACUGGUGUUCGGGUUGUCAUGCCAAUGGCAUUGCCCGGUAGCUAAAUGCGGAAGAGAUAAGUGCUGAAAGCAUCUAAGCACGAAACUUGCCCCGAGAUGAGUUCUCCCUGACCCUUUAAGGGUCCUGAAGGAACGUUGAAGACGACGACGUUGAUAGGCCGGGUGUGUAAGCGCAGCGAUGCGUUGAGCUAACCGGUACUAAUGAACCGUGAGGCUUAACCUUACAACGCCGAAG